rnacentral:misc_RNA from 1 species
UCCGAGUUGACCCCGGCAGUCUCUUACGAGUCCCCACCAUAACGUGCUGGCUUAAUUCGAUGCAACGCGAAGAACCUUACCCGGGCUAAAUCCGUGAUAACCGCCCCCGAAACGGGGCUUCCCUUCGGGGCAUCAUGGAAGGUGCUGCAUGGCUGUCGUCAGCUCGUGCCGUGAGGUGUUGCCUUAAGUGACGCAACGAGCGCAACCCCUGUGGUUAGUUACCAGCACGUUGUGGUGGGGACUCUAGCCAGACUGCCUACGCAAGUAGUGAGGAAGGUGGGGAUGACGUAAGCCUAUCGAGA